CCCGCACAAGCGGUGGAGCAUGUGGUUUAAUUCGAUGCAACGCGAAGAACCUUACCUGGUCUUGACAUCCCGGAGAACCCUUUAGGAAACUAGGGGGUGCUUCCAGUCUGGAAGAAUCUGGAGACAGGUGCUGCAUGGCUGUCGUCAGCUCGUGUCGUGAGAUGUUGGGUUAAGUCCCGCAACGAGCGCAACCCUUGCCUUUAGUUGCCAGCAGUUCGGCUGGGCACUCUAAAGGGACUGCCGGUGUUAAACCGGAGGAAGGUGGGGAUGACGUCAAGUCCUCAUGGCCUUUAUGACCAGGGCUACACACGUACUACAAUGGCCGAUACAAAGGGCAGCGACACUGCGAGGUGAAGCCAAUCCCGUAAAAUCGGUCUCAGUCCGGAUUGGAGUCUGCAACUCGACUCCAUGAAGUUGGAAUCGCUAGUAAUCGUGGAUCAGCAUGCCACGGUGAAUACGUUCCCGGGCCUU
rnacentral:rRNA from 1 species